rnacentral:rRNA from 1 species
AUGGGCAAGCAACUUGACCUGGCCGCGCUCUCGGCGUGCCAACCGGCUUGGAUUCAGGAGGUGCUCAACUCCUAUUCCACCGACCCGGACGCCCAAGAUCGACUACAAAAGCUCGCCAUCACCAGCCCCGACGACGACUGCUACGAACUUCACCACGGCGUCAUCCGUCGCGGUGGCCGCCUGUGGAUUGGCGCCAACACCGCGCUCCGCACCAAGCUCAUCGCCGCGCUCCACAACAGCACGGUCGGCGGCCACUCCGGCGUCACAGCAACGUACCAGCGCGUGCGCAAGCACUUUGAGUGGCGUGGGCUCAAGCGCGACACCGAAGAGUUCGUGCAGCAGUGUGUGACUUGCCAACAGGCCAAGCACGAACACACCAAGCCUGCCGGGCUCUUGGCGCCGCUGCCCAUUCCAUCCACGCCCUGGGAAGACCUCACCAUGGAUUUCGUGGAGGGGCUGCCGCCGUCUGAAGGCUUCGACACGAUCAUGGUCAUGGUGGACCGCUUCACCAAGUUCGCCUAUUUCAUCCCGCUUCGUCACCCCUUCCACGCGGCGCAGGUGGCGCGCGCGUUCUGGGACGUGGUCAAGCUGCACGGGGUGCCCACCUCGAUCGUCUCCGACCGCGACAAGGUUUUCACCAGCAAUCUCUGGCGGGAGCUGCUCGUCGGCGCCGGCACGAAGCUGCUGUACUCCACCGCCUACCACCCGCAGACAGAUGGGCAGAGCGAGCGCGUGAACCAGUGCAUGGAGAUGUAUCUCCCGUGCGCGGUGCACGACACCCCGAGCAAGUGGCGUCGCUGGCUGCCCAUGGCGGAGUUCUGGUACAAUUCGACCUUCCACUCGUCGCUCAACUGCACCCCGUUCAAGGCGUUGUAUGGGAAGGAGGCCAACCUGGGAGCAAUGGCGGCCUGGCCGAACGACGCUCCCACCGGCGACGACCUGGACUGGGCGGCGCACACAACGCACAUACGCGCCCAGCUGGCGCGUGCCCAGAAGCGCUGCAAGAAACAAGCUGAUCGCCACCGCACCGAGCGCCAGUUCCAGGUGGGCGAGCAGGUACUCCUGAAACUGCAGCCCUACGUCCAGCAAUCUGUCCUCAGCCGGCCCUGCGCCAAACUCGCCUACAAGUUCUUCGGGCCAUACAAUGUCAUCGAGAGAAUCGGGCUCAUGGCGUACAAGCUCGACCUGCCGGAAUCCAGCCGCGUGCACCCGGUCUUCCACGUCUCGCAGCUGAAGCCGUUCACGCCGGAUUACACGCCGGUGUACGCAGAACUUCCACGGGUGCCUGAUCUGUCCGUGGCGACCACGGCACCCACGCCCAUCCUGGAGCGACGCAUGAUGAAGAAGGGGAAUGCUCCAGUCGUCCAGAUCAGGGUGCAAUGGGGGAACAGUGCUACUCCAGCCGCUACGUGGGAAGACUACGACACCUUACGGCAACGCUUUCCAGCCGCUCUCAUCUGGGAAGACGAAGACGCCAGCCCUGAAGACGGAGCUCGCUCUCAAGGAGGGGAGAAUGUCACACCUGGCCACUUGUCCGCCACUUGUCCAGUGUGA